GUAGUUAGUAGAGAAAUACUCGUGCGCGCACCACGGACAAAAACCAACCACCGUGCGCCAGCCGCCACGCCAGCGCCUGCCAUGGCUCCUCUCCUCCUCCUCCCCCUCCCCCUCCCCCUCCGACCCAUCCCCGCCGAGAACUCCAUUUCCCGGCUCGCACCGAGGCCAAGGUUCCCUCGUCCCUUCUCCAGGCGGCGCCUACGCCUUCCCGCCCUCCUCCAAGUCCAAUGCCUCGCGGCCACCGGCCCCGCCGCGCCCGCGCCGCGGUGGCACGCGGCACUGUCCGCCGCGGCGGGGCUGUACCCGGCCUACGUCGCAGCCGGCGCCUCCGUGGCCUUCACGCGGCCCGAGGCGUUCCGGUGGUUCGUGGCGCUGGCGCCGGGGUCCUACACCGCUACGCUCGGCUUCAUCAUGCUCGCCAUGGGCCUCACGCUCCAGCUCAGUGACUUCGCCGCCCUCCUCCGCGACAGGCCCCUCGCCAUUUUGUUCGGGUGUGCCGCCCAGUACACCAUAAUGCCUGCGUUUGGCGCUAUCAUUAGCCACGCGCUGGGGCUUCCCCCGUCGCUCUCAGCUGGCCUCAUCCUGCUGGGAUGCUGUCCUGGAGGAACUGCAUCCAAUGUGGUGACUUUAGUUGCUCAAGGCGACGUUCCAUUAUCCGUCGUGAUGACUGUCUGCAGCACUCUUGCUGCAGUGUUCCUUACUCCUCUGUUAACGAAAAUUCUUGCUGGUGCUUAUAUUCCUGUGGAUGCCGUUAAGCUCUCUCUCAGUACUUUGCAGGUGGUUGUUGCCCCAAUUCUAUUAGGUUCAUUGAUACAAACUGCAUUCCCAUCAGUAGCUCAAUUUCUGAGUCCUUUUGCACCUCUGAUGGCAGUCUUGGCUUCAUCACUUCUAGCAUCCAGUGUCUUCUCUGAGAACUUUGUGCGCCUAAGAUCGACAAUUGCCGAUGCAUCCCCUGUGAAUGGAAUGUUCUUUGGGGAUGUAGGGACUGUCAUCUUCUCUGUCUUCUUGCUGCAUUUUGCUGGUUUCUUUGUCGGGUAUGCAGCAGCAGCUAUAGGUGGUUUCAAAGAAAAGCAAAGGAGAGCAAUAUCGAUCGAGGUAGGAAUGCAGAACUCGUCCCUAGGGGUAGUUUUAGCAACCGCGCAUUUCUCCUCGCCCUUGGUCGCGCUGCCUCCUGCAGUCUCGGCCGUCGUCAUGAACAUGAUGGGUAGCACACUGGGUCUCGUAUGGCAAUAUACCAGCACUUCCGUGUCAGAGAACGAAACCAGUGCGUGAUCUACUCUUACUGUCGCCAUGUGCUUAAUCUAAUGUGUCGUAUCUACCACCACCACCACUACUACUACCCGAAUAUACCUUUCGAGUACUUUUGAUCAUGUUGGGGAACGGGGUCGCUGAUGAUGACCCUGGAAUGGAAAAAAUCUUGCUGUCUUAAUUACUGGAGGACCCAGGUUACCUGUCUGAAUUAUGUGGGUGGUGAAUGCCCAGGCUACAUAUGGGUCCCUUUUUUCAGCACUGCAAAUAGAGGGAAAACCCAUUUUGCAUGUGACCUGGUACAUUACAAUGCUGUGCUGUGCCUGCAAACAAAGCCCCGCGCCCACUGCUUCCACCUGUAUGUGCGUGCUCGUGCAAUGGCAUCAGGCAAAGGUCGCAAGGCCAAGUGCCAUUUGCACCCAUGCGCUCUUGUGGCAGUAGUGCUACCGACUAAUGAUGAUGACCAGAGCUCGCGACUGCCCCACAGAGAGAGGUUUGCCGAACCGCUUGAUGAGAUUCAUUCACGGAACCACGAGGAGCAGGCAGGCAGGGAAAAGCAGAUCUCGCCACAGCUGCAGGAUCAUGAUCAUCGCCUGGUGUUUUCCUGGGAUCUAAACCACGCUGCUUACUUUUUAAAGCUUUUCUUCUUGCAGCUCAACGGCGACGACCUGGAGCGUUCAGCUUUGCCUUUGAAUGACCGGCACUGUAGCACGUCCAGAUCAGGUCCCGUUGUUCUGAAUCCUGGCUAGCAGCUUAGCAUGGUACGGUCAAAUGAAGCUGUCAUGUGCGCCCGUAACGAGUCAAAGUAGAUGAACAUGUGAGUGCAACUAAACCUGUCCGUUGAGAUGAACAUGUCUACGCUACUUUUGCCGAGGCUGACGGCGUCUCCCGCUCCUGUUCAAGUGGAGAUUAACAAAGUUGCUCACACACACUGAUCGGGGAGGGAUCAAAGUAGUAUAUGUUCAAUCUGGCUGGUUAUUUGGUCUGUGAAUCAUGUGCUGGGAUUUAACUAGUCUCUCUGUCUCCCAGUUGCGGUUGAUCAGCUCCUUCCUAUUAAUGUUCCAGCCACGCUGAGUCACAGCUGCUGGCUGAACACCGGGCAUCAUCCAGUGGAGUUCUUUUUGUGGACGAAGUCAAAGAUGACAAUGAGACGUGAUUAGUGCGGACGCACGUUCUCAUUGAAAAAUUAACGGCUUUCACUGUCAUUUCGUAUUUUUAUUUUAUUCCUGUAAUGGUUGCACUAUGUCCUUGUUGUGUAUAUAUAUAUAUUGUUGGCCA